CAGGGAAUCUUGCGCAAUGGGCGAAAGCCUGACGCAGCAACGCCGCGUGGGGGAUGAAGGCCUUCGGGUUGUAAACCCCUUUCAGGAGGGAAGAAAUUGACGGUACCUCCAGAAGAAGCCCCGGCCAACUACGUGCCAGCAGCCGCGGUAAUACGUAGGGGGCGAGCGUUGUCCGGAAUCAUUGGGCGUAAAGAGCUCGUAGGCGGUUCAGCAAGUCGGCUGUGAAAGUCCGAGGCUCAACCUCGGAACUGCAGUCGAUACUGCUGUGACUCGAGUCCGGUAGAGGAGAAUGGAAUUCCCGGUGUAGCGGUGAAAUGCGCAGAUAUCGGGAGGAACACCAGUAGCGAAGGCGGUUCUCUGGGCCGGUACUGACGCUGAGGAGCGAAAGCAUGGGUAGCAAACAGGAUUAGAUACCCCCGUAGUCC
rnacentral:rRNA from 1 species